CAUAUUUAGUCAUUCAUUUUUGAUCAGGAGAAAGAAGACAGCCAUCAUUUGAAAGGUAAAGCUUCAGCGACUGAAGGAGUGUGGACUUUUUGAAUUUCAAGAACAGUAAAGUUGGAACACAGCAGAGGGUGUGUAAUAAAAUACAGAGUCUUAGAUAUAAACGAGUCAGUUGUGGGUCUCUGCCUGUGGAUGUGUUUCUUCUUCACAUGGAAUGCAGAAAAUUGAUGUUUGCUGUUGUGAAUUAGAGGCAUCAUCUCUCGUGACGACAGCAUGUACGAUCCCUGAAUGGGCCCGUGGG
rnacentral:sRNA from 1 species